GAAAUUUAAGGACAUUAUGCCAUGAUUGAGAGAAUCCAGCACGAGCUAGAAGGAAUAGCUCACCCUGAAAUCUGAUGUGCUAAAGACUGGCUAGAGCUAAGGGAGAGUCGAAGUUGCUGGUACACUUGCUGCACUUCACAAAAGAAAAUGAAGAAACCACAAGAAAGGGUCAGCACAAAGAACACGUACUGAGUAGGUUUCAUCAGCCAACCCAAAAUAGAAAUUAAUAUGCAAUGAAUAAUAGUAUAAAAUCAACUAUGACACUUAGCAGGUGGCCAACAACAAACAAUAUGAACAAGUGACAACGAAAGCAAGUACGCAAUCAAUCACAAUAUCACAUAUACGAGGACUCAUGCCUCCACACCAUGCUUAUUUGGGGAAAUGAGUUCUUUGAGAUUGAGUACAUUAACUUAGUUCAAUAUCUUUUCCUUUAAUGUUACUGUGUCGGAGCGUGACACCCCGAUCCAAUAAUACCGUGUCGGAAUGUGAUACCCCGAUCCAAUAAUACCAUGCCGACUCGUUGUAUCCAAUCUAAUAUAUCGUUAAUUUAUCAUUUAUUAUCACCACUUUUCACUUCAUUAACAAUAUUUCAUCAAGACUUCUUUAUUCAAGGCAUCAUUUCGAUAGACAGGGUUUCAAGAUUAUAAAUUUCCACGGUCUCAGGAUUUCAGACUAAUCACAAAACCACACAACCAAGCUACACAACCACACAAUCAAGUACAUAGAGAACUUCACAAUAAUCACCCAAUGCAUAUCAAUCGCUAUUAAGAAUCUAUCUAUCACAUAGAAUAAGUCAUAGCCUACCUCAACCGAAGAACCGAAGUCAAGAGAGCUAAUCUUCCAAUUCUUUCCCUUUCCGCAAUGCCUCCGAAUGUUUCCAAUCUAUCAAUUGUACAUUAUUCGUAAGUAAACGAUUCUAUCGACUCACAUAUUACUAUAUAUAUAUCAAGCCUAUACUCAAUAACUCAUCCCAAUCUAUAGACAAUUUCCUAAAGUUCAAGGCCAAGGGUAAGUCUCAAUUCCUCCAAUUAUCACAACUUAAUGGUAGUCAAUACAAUACACCUAAUAUUUAAUUACUUAUAUUAAUUAUUAUCAAAACAUAAACUUAUAUAUGAUAAUCAUAUUUAGUGAAUUUACACAACCAGUAACCUUGACAGAUCAUUAACCAUACCCCCUAGCCCUUAUACUAUCCUUUUACUAACUUCAAUUAUUACCUUAAUCAUUACUCCAUAACCACACCUGAUCUUAGUCAGCCGUAACAAACAAAACAACAUAUAUUUGCUCGUCAAAUCUGUAGCGUGUGUAAUCCAAUUCUUCCUAAUACUAUACUCUAAUGUAAUUCCCAUAAUAAAAUAUAUCUAUUGUAUAUUAACUAUUUAUAAAUUGAACAUUAUACAUAUGGGAGUACUAAUUACAUUUGUAUAUUAACUAUUUAUAAAUUGAACAUUAUACAUAUGGGAGUACUAAUUACAUUUGUAUAUUAACUAUUUAUAAAUUGAACAUUAUACAUAUGGGAGUACUAAUUACAUUUGUAUAUUAACUAUUUAUAAAUUGAACAUUAUACAUAUGGGAGUACUAAUUACAUUUGUAUAUUAACUAUUUAUAAAUUGAACAUUAUACAUAUGGGAGUACUAAUUACAUUUGUAUAUUAACUAUUUAUAAAUUGAACAUUAUACAUAUGGGAGUACUAAUUACAUUUGUAUAUUAACUAUUUAUAAAUUGAACAUUAUACAUAUGGGAGUACUAAUUACAUUUGUAUAUUAACUAUUUAUAAAUUGAACAUUAUACAUAUGGGAGUACUAAUUACAUUUUCAUAUAUCUAUUUAUAAAUCAGUUACUAACAGAUAUACACCAAAAUUGAUCAAGUACAAUCUCAAAUUAUUUGAGGUCAAUUAUGUCUCAUUCAUACUAAAGUUUUUUCAAUAAUUAUUUUUUUGAAGCAACUUUGGUAUUUUAGCGCGGAAUCUGUUGAUUUAUUUACUUACAUAGAUGUGAUAUAGCUACAAAUACUACUACGACAAUUUAAAUAUUAACUCUGAAGUAACUAAAUUAAAUUAAUUCAAAUAUCACCUCUAAAGUAACCAAAUUAUAUUUUCAUGAACUCAAUGCUUCUCAGAUAAGAAAUUCUUAGAAAUAUGCAACUCCCAUCAUAAAAAUGAAUCAAGCUAUACAAUUUUUCUUAUAAUUAAAAAUUCAAUUCGAUGAAAAAAGAAAUAGGCAAGAAACUGCUUAAGAAGUAAAGAUCAUUUGCACAUAUACUAUCAAUACAUGUAUUUGAUUGGACAUGUGCAUUUGAGCACACCAACAAUUUCACUUCUUGAAUUAAAUAAUGACAAAAUAUCUGUCUACAUUACACAUGAAUUCAAUUCCUCCAGAUUCUUCGAAAGAAGAGGAGGCCAACAAAAUACCCCGUGAAUGAGAAAGAUAAAAUGUAAGCAGACCUUACUACUAACUCGUGAAAUAAAAAAUUGUGUCAUAUUUGUGGAAGUAUAAGUCUCACAUCAAAGGGCAUCUCUAGAUUGGAGUCUCUAAAAUGUACCAAAAGUUUUAAUAAUUGUUACCCCUUAAACAUAAUAAUGACAAACUUCAAUUAAGUUUAGAAGCAUGAAUAAAGUUGGUUCAUGGGUUACUGCAUUAUAUUCUUAAAAAUGCAUCCAUGUUAAUUUCUCUCUUUUCCUUUGUCAGUGAGAUAAUAUUUUAAAAAUGAAAUCAUUUUUUUAAAUAUAGAUAACAUAAAACGAAAUCAUUCUUCAUUGGUGUCUUCUCUAUAGUUUCUAAUUGUUGGCUAUUCGAUCAUCCAACAAAGCUUCCUAUACUUAUAUAGGAAGACACAUUAGAAAAUAUUCUAUACCAUAUAAUACACACAAAUAAAGCUUGUAAACAAUCCUUAAAAUAAAUAUAUAGUGACGGUAAACCUUAGAAAAGGAUCCGCAAUUGUGCUCGGACUAAAGAAAAGAGGGCUUAUCCACAAUUCUCUUCUGGCACGAAACUACGCAGCUAUACCUGGACACCAAUAUCAGCAAAAGAGAAAAUACUUAAGCAUAUAAUAAGCUAACAUCAAGGAUUUGAAGAACCAAAAUUGUAUCAUAUUGCUCUUCACCAAACAUGGAUAAAUAUUUGCCGCUUAUGCUUUAUUAGCUCUCUUACUCUUAUAUGUCGUGUGUUUCAAAUUAGAAUUUUCAACAGUAUAGUUGAUUUAAUUCGUAACCCAUAAGCUUUGAACCGUUAGGAGAAGAAGAGAUUUGAGGGAGAUGAUCCAUCAUUUUGGCUCUAAGGCCUUAGCAAUUGUUAAUAAUAAAUAAUCUGGAAGUGGAGGAAAAAGAUCUAGAACGCUCUGGAAUGGAAAGAAAAAGUAUUGUGGUUUGCUAAAAUAUCAAUCAUGCAUAAUUACUAUUCUGCCCUUCAAUCAUAUUAGAUUUCGAUUUUUGAAA
rnacentral:lncRNA from 1 species